UACGUAGGGUGCGAGCGUUGUCCGGAAUUAUUGGGCGUAAAGGGCUCGUAGGCGGUCUGUUACGUCGGGAGUGAAAACUCGGGGCUCAACCCCGAGCCUGCUUCCGAUACGGGCAGACUAGAGGUAUGCAGGGGAGAAUGGAAUUCCUGGUGUAGCGGUGAAAUGCGCAGAUAUCAGGAGGAACACCGGUGGCGAAGGCGGGUCUCUGGGCCGAUACUGACGCUGAGGAGCGAAAGCGUGGGGAGCGAACAGG
rnacentral:rRNA from 1 species